rnacentral:rRNA from 1 species
GGAGGAGGCAAGCGUUGUUCGGAAUUACUGGGCUUAAAGCGUGCGUAGGCGGGAUGGGCAGGGUGUCGUGUGAAAGCCCUCGGGCUCAACCGAGGAAUUGCUCGGCAAACCGUCAUUCUUGAGGCCAGCAGGGGGACCUGGAACUUUGGGUGGAGCGGUGAAAUGCGUAGAUAUCCAAGGGAACGCCGGUGGCGAAAGCGGGGUCCUGGGCUGGUUCUGACGCUGAGGCACGAAAGCGUGGGUAGCAAACAGGAUUAGAUACCCUGGUAGUCCACGCUGUAAACGAUGCGCACUAGGUAUCAGCGCCUCUGACGGGGUUGGUGCCGCAGCGAAAGCAUUAAGUGCGCCGCCUGGGGAGUACGGCCGCAAGGCUA